AACGCGAAGAACCUUACCCAGGCUCGAACGGUACGCGACGGCGGCAGAGAUGUCGUUUUCCUUCGGGACGCGUAUCGAGGUGCUGCAUGGUUGUCGUCAGCUCGUGCCGUGAGGUGUCGGCUUAAGUGCCACAACGAGCGCAACCCUUGUUGACAGUUGCCAUCGGGUAAAGCCGGGGACUCUGUCGAGACUGCCACCGUAAGGUGUGAGGAAGGGGGGGAUGACGUCAAAUCAGCACGGCCCUUAUGUCUGGGGCGACACACGUGUUACAAUGGUGAGUACAGAGGGUCGCUACCUGGCGACAGGAUGCUAAUCUCGAAAACUCAUCUCAGUUCGGAUCGGAGUCUGCAACUCGACUCCGUGAAGCUGGAUUCGCUAGUAAUCGCGCAUCAGCCAUGGCGCGGUGAAUACGUUCCCGGGUCUUGUACACACCG
rnacentral:rRNA from 1 species